GGAGGAAAAGAAACCAACAGGGAUUGCCUUAGUAACGGCGAGUGAAGCGGCAAAAGCUCAAAUUUGAAAUCUGGCACCUUCGGUGUCCGAGUUGUAAUUUGAAGAAGGUAACUUUGGAGUUGGCUCUUGUCUAUGUUCCUUGGAACAGGACGUCACAGAGGGUGAGAAUCCCGUGCGAUGAGAUGCCCAAUUCUAUGUAAAGUGCUUUCGAAGAGUCGAGUUGUUUGGGAAUGCAGCUCUAAGUGGGUGGUAAAUUCCAUCUAAAGCUAAAUAUUGGCGAGAGACCGAUAGCGAACAAGUACAGUGAUGGAAAGAUGAAAAGAACUUUGAAAAGAGAGUGAAAAAGUACGUGAAAUUGUUGAAAGGGAAGGGCUUGAGAUCAGACUUGGUAUUUUGCGAUCCUUUCCUUCUUGGUUGGGUUCCUCGCAGCUUACUGGGCCAGCAUCGGUUUGGAUGGUAGGAUAAUGACUAAGGAAUGUGGCUCUACUUCGGUGGAGUGUUAUAGCCUUGGUUGAUACUGCCUGUCUAGACCGAGGACUGCGUCUUUUGACUAGGAUGUUGGCAUAAUGAUCUUAAGCCACCCGUCU
rnacentral:rRNA from 1 species